ensembl:snRNA U6 U6 spliceosomal RNA
GUGUUCUCUUCAGCAGCACAUAUACUAAAAUUAGAAUGAUACAGGAAAGAUUAGCAUGGUCCCGUGAGAGGAGAAUAUGCAAACUCAUGAAACUUCCUAUUUUUAA